AUAGAUAAACUUUUCUUUUUUUUCAAUCAUUUACCUCCAUUUUUACUUUUUCAGAUUCGGGAACAAUUUGAACCGGAUUUUGAACAAUAAGAUCUACUUCUUUCAUCAACGUUGAACCGUAUUUUUGAACCACACAUAAUCGAACAAAGUAUCUAAUAAAUAAAACACGAUUUUAAGACAAACAAAUGUUAAAAGAACAUUUUCUUGCUUUACCUCACAGAAACAUUGACGCCCCAAUUCAUAUAAACAACCUUGAAGAAAAGCAACAGUGCAAAAACAAUGAUGAUCUUUCCCAUUUAAAAAGAAUUUUUAUUAUGUACCAGGAGAGUCAAGAUCUUUGAAAAUAGCAAAAAAACAUGCUUUAUCAUACAGUUAGAUAAAACAUACUCAAUUGGCCUAUCAGCUCAACACGAAUUCCGUAAUGCUCUAAUUUACGGGCUGGGCUUAUAUUUAUAACUGCUGUACCAC